rnacentral:tRNA from 1 species
UAUAAAAUAGUGUAGGUGUAUGCACGGGGAUUUUUGGAGUCUCAGGAACUGAUUUCCUUCAGUUUUUAUAG